UCAUAUCUAGCUUGUGCCUUGUACUUUCUUCUUAUUGUGAUUUUAAAGCUGGUCAUAUGAUGCAAUUUCAAGUUUUCCUUUCUCUUUGGAGUGUUACAAGCUCUUGGUGCAUAAAGAAGAUCUGUAAAGUUGCAAAGACUAAAGUCUCAAAUCCAAAGAGAUAUUCUUUAUAAAAGUUUAGACUCGUCCACGCCCCCCUGAAACGUCUUGUUCUAACACGCCCCCACAUCUCUACGACACUGUGUGGGAAGAUUUGCAUCACUGCAUGAAAAGAGCUGUAUACGGACAAAUACGGGAUGGGAAAUCUCUGCUAAACUGUAGGUUUGCCAGAUAAAUGAGGCAGAGUGCUUGGAAAGAACGCUUUGUCUCGUCAGCUUGAGGGUUUGAUGGAGAAGCAAGCUGCAAACACUGUUCUUCUCGAAGAUGCUAUCCAGCGUCUUUGUGCUCUUGAGCGAAAGUUUGACGAGCAAAGACCGCAAGAGGAACAAAGACCGCGGGAAGAGCCAUUACAUAAAAGGAUAAAGAGGGCGCACAACGUGGGCAUUGCGGAAGCUGUAAGGCGCCUUCACAAUUCGGAAAACAACCCACAUAAAUAUGAUCCACAAACUGGAAUAAGUUCGCCUCGUAACCAAGCAGUCAUGACUUAUCUGCUAGAGGAAUUGAAAACAACUUUUGCAGAUGCAGACCCUGAGUGUAUACAAGCGUGUUGCAAGACAUACUUUGAAACACUUCGGAGAAAGUACAAUUUGUCUCAGCCAGAAAAGUCCCAGCUAAGAGAUGCCAUUAAAACAGGAGCUAAAAACCGACAAAGGAAAAGACGGUUGCUGGAUUCCAGGUCCAAGGUUGUUCAAACCGAUGCAGAGAGAGAGCUUUGGCAGACUGCAACAGUGGAGCUGAUGUCUGACGAGGAGGAUGCCAUUGUUGAUGGAAGGCCAGUGUGGAUUGUGAGGUCUCCAUCUCACAGGAACCCACAAUUGUCAGAACUUUGUGAGGAGCUUCAGCGCAGAUUGGAGGCAGACAUGCGCUACACUAUUUUGCAUCAUCAGCGUGUUAAGGCUGAUGGAAAUGGACAUGAUGGACCUUCCUUUCUUCAACUUUAACUAAACUGCACUGGUUUUGCAAUUUUAAUAAUUGCACCACAAACUGCACAUUUUCACUUAUUCUCUUCUAUUUUAUCUUAUUCUUUGUAUACUUAUUAGGUUAGAUUUAUUUAGUUUCAUAUUCUGCAACUUAUUUUCUUUUAAUAUUGUUUGUGUUUGCUGUGUUUGGUUACAUUUUAAAUACUUUGUGCUGUGUGUACAUAUUAAGUAGUUUAUUUAGUUUUAUAUUCUGUAACAGUAUAAUAUUGCUUGUGUUUAGUAAAAUUUUAUAAAAGUACUUUGCUUUGUGUACAUAUUAUUUAGUUUUAUAUUCUCUAACUGUUAUAAUAUUGCUUGUGUUUAGUAAAAUUUUAUAAAAGUACUUUGCUUUGUGUACAUAUUAUUUCGUUUUAUAUUUUGUAACUGUUAUAAUAUUGCUUGUGUUUGGUUAAAUUUUAUAAAAGUACUUUUUCCCCUGUACAGUUCCUAUAGUUUUAUUUAUAUAUUUAAUGCUUUAUUUAUAUAUUUAAUGCUUUAAGUGUUUUGGUUUAAUUUUAAUAAAAAGAAAUUCUGAAUCCA
ensembl:lncRNA